rnacentral:rRNA from 1 species
GGACGAACGCUGGCGGCGUGCUUAACACAUGCAAGUCGAACGGAAAGGCCCAGCUUGCUGGGUACUCGAGUGGCGAACGGGUGAGUAACACGUGGGUGAUCUGCCCCUGACUUUGGGAUAAGCCUGGGAAACUGGGUCUAAUACCGGAUAUGACUCGAGGUUGCAUGGCUUCGGGUGGAAAGCUUUUGCGGUUGGGGAUGGGCCCGCGGCCUAUCAGCUUGUUGGUGGGGUAAUGGCCUACCAAGGCGACGACGGGUAGCCGACCUGAGAGGGUGAUCGGCCACACUGGGACUGAGACACGGCCCAGACUCCUACGGGAGGCAGCAGUGGGGAAUAUUGCACAAUGGGCGCAAGCCUGAUGCAGCGACGCCGCGUGAGGGAUGACGGCCUUCGGGUUGUAAACCUCUUUCACCAGGGACGAAGCGCAAGUGACGGUACCUGGAGAAGAAGCACCGGCCAACUACGU